GAUGAGUAAAAGGACCCACCAUUUGCUUUUGAAUGGCACUGGAGGCGGAGAGAUGACUUUGGUAAGUAAUAAAGCAUUUGUUAGGAAUAUCUUACAGUAAACAACAUUUUCAACUUCAUCUCUACAUAACCGUUAGUCUUUAAUUGUAUUUGUUUAUUGGGAUCCCCAUGAUCUGUUACAAAGCAGCAGCUACUCUUCAGGGCCACAUGCCUGUCAUUACAUUUUCCUCAUAGGACAGUAAGUAAAUCCCUUUUAUAAUCUGACUCUAUUACCAUGUCUACUUUGUCUGCAAAAGUUCAUAACCAAAUUCCUGUUUUGAUAAAGAGAUGUGUCACAGAAACCAUGUAUGUGAAGAUGCAUUUGCUGUCUGUGUUGAUGGCCUACUCUGGUGGAAUGCAGUAAUGAAUCAGAGUGCCUUUAAGUGACUCUGUUCAUUCAUUUCAGGGAAGAGACUUGUAUCUUGCCCUGACAAAUGAGGCCUAUGAGGAGUUCUGACCUGCUAUGUCGGAACUUGACAUGUUGCGCCGUCUGGCCCCAGAAACUGACGAUGGAACCCAGUGCCCGCUCUGUCCCAAGGCCCUGGUGUAUGAGGAUGCAGUGCAGGGGGACAGCACUGUUUGGUCCUGGAGAGCAGGAGGAGCAGAGGAUGAUGGGGAGUUUCACCACAAGCAAAGGCUCUUUGUGCUCCAUUCCCUCAGAGAGCGGGCGUGUGAAGAGAAGCAGUGCAUUGAGGAUGAUGUCUUCACUGCCAAGACGUUCUACUCACAUGAGCAGGAACUGAUUGUGGAGGCCUUACAACAUUACACAGAGCAAGAUGGAUUUUGUCUUGGGGCAAGAGCUGUCCUUGCUGGAAAGCUUGAUGAGCUCCAGCAUGCAGAAGGACAAUGUGAAUCUUGCAGAGGGGCUUUUAUUGAGGGCAAUGGCAGAAACUUUGAAGUGGAGGACAUCAAGGAAGUGGAUGAGGAUGAUGACGAUUAUGAUGGUGAUGACGACAGCGGUGGUGAUAUUGAUGGAGGAAUAGUUUAUUUAUGUCAUUGUAUUCCUGCCCUUUGUUUACAAUUGUAUGUUUUAUUGCUAUUUUGUACUUAAAAGAAGCACAUUUCUAUUUAAUUGUUAGACGUGAUACAGGCCAUUGUUGCAUGUAAUCCCAUGGUGAGAAGAACCUGAUGUGAGCCUUGUAUACCCCAACCUGAAUCUAAUGGAAUAGACAGGUUUGCUUCCUCUUCAAAUUAGUCUUUUUAUUGACCUGUUAGCUGUGGAGUUUGUAAAUAUCAAUUUAGAUUAUUUUGUAAAUAUUGUCAUUUGAAUAUCUAGAUCACCAUUGUCAUCUUUAAAUAAAAUAACUUCUGCACCUGAUCCUGCCUGGCUCCCGCAACAUUUUAACGGUCCAAAAAUGGGUUUAGCAACUAAAGAUUCUAGCUUUAAGGGUUAAGUAUGUAGCCUACAGAGAAACCAAUUUAGAGAUCAAGCCUUGUAGACUCGUAAUUUCUGAUAAAUUGACUUUGCUGGAGAGGGGAGACUCGAGGCCAUGGUGUAGUCGAACUGGCACAUUUAAUAAAUCAUUAUUCUAAACAAACCACAAAAGGGUUAGAACUACAAUUUCUGCGCCAUUUCCUGUCAUCGCCACUGGACGCGAUGCAACGUGAAACAGGGAGUUGUAGUUCUUCACAGAAAGCGCAGAGCGUUUUCGAACGAUUACAGUUCCUAAGCACUGGAACAUUUUUGCCGUUUUUGUUUUGGAAUCACAGUCAUGAAACACCCCUUAAACAUAUUACACAAUGUUCUCACUACAAUUCAGGAUUCUUACAGCGGCUAACUUUAUUUUUAAUAAAUAGGUAUAGGCUUUUAGCUAGGGUUGAAUAUACUCCUCAGUAAACUUGGGAAACAGCUCGAUUGUACUACUAGAAGCGUGUCAUGUUAAUAAGAAUAAGAAUAAUAAGAAUAAGCACAUAUUUAAGAAUGAUCAGAUGGUUUAUGUCCACAUGCCAAGGCUUUGGGCGAGAGAUUAAAACGUUUUCACUAUCUGAACGCCUGAAACACUACAUGUGCUAGGUUUGAAUAUAACGUUACUCAACAUAUAGGCAAGGCUACACAUAUUCUUACAGCAUACAUGUUGAAAUUGAAAGGAACUGUUCCCGCUUUCCCGGAGACUGCAUUCACGGUAAAUGCUGCAUAUGUCGACUUAAGUCUGAAAUUACCUUUACAUUUCUAUCGCCAAUGUCUCAGCUGUGAAUCUUUCGGAAUUUUCUGAUUAAUCAAUUCUUGUUGCUCCAUCGUUCUUUCGUUUGAAUCACAGCUACGUUUUCGUAUAUAACGUCGGGUUGUUUUAAAUAAUGUAGGUAACAAAUAGGCUAACAACUGACAUUACAGAAGCCAGAAGAGUUGUGAACUACAAAUAUGGCGCAAUUUUGUAGUUUUCUGCCAAACUAGCUCAGAUGAUCUUCUUUAUCUAUAUCUGCACCAAUAUCGUUACAAUUGACGUCUAUCAUGACAUGUAAAUGCAUGAAUGCCUAAAUAAAGCUGUACUAAAUCAGAA
rnacentral:lncRNA from 8 species